GGCUAACUACGUGCCAGCAGCCGCGGUAAUACGUAGGGUGCAAGCGUUGUCCGGAAUUAUUGGGCGUAAAGAGCUCGUAGGCGGUUUGUCGCGUCUGAUGUGAAAUCUGGGGGCUCAACCCCCAGCCUGCAGUGGGUACGGGCAGACUAGAGUGCGGUAGGGGAGAUUGGAAUUCCUGGUGUAGCGGUGGAAUGCGCAGAUAUCAGGAGGAACACCGAUGGCGAAGGCAGAUCUCUGGGCCGUAACUGACGCUGAGGAGCGAAAGCAUGGGGAGCGAACAGGAUUAGAUACCCUGGUAGUCCAUGCCGUAAACGUUGGGAACUAGAUGUAGGGGCCAUUCCACGGUUUCUGUGUCGCAGCUAACGCAUUAAGUUCCCCGCCUGGGGAGUACGGCCGCAAGGCUAAAACUCAAAGGAAUUGACGGGGGCCCGCACAAGCGGCGGAGCAUGCGGAUUAAUUCGAUGCAACGCGAAGAACCUUACCAAGGCUUGACAUAUACCGGAAACGUCCAGAGAUGGUCGCCCCGCAAGGUCGGUAUACAGGUGGUGCAUGGUUGUCGUCAGCUCGUGUCGUGAGAUGUUGGGUUAAGUCCCGCAACGAGCGCAACCCUCGUUCUAUGUUGCCAGCACGUUAUGGUGGGAACUCAUAGGAGACUGCCGGGGUCAACUCGGAGGAAGGUGGGGAUGACGUCAAAUCAUCAUGCCCCUUAUGUCUUGGGCUUCACGCAUGCUACAAUGGCCGAUACAAAGGGCUGCAAUACCGUAAGGUGGAGCGAAUCCCAAAAAGUCGGUCUCAGUUCGGAUUGAGGUCUGCAACUCGACCUCAUGAAGUCGGAGUCGCUAGUAAUCGCAGAUCAGCAACGCUGCGGUGAAUACGUUCCCGGGCCUUGUACACACCGCCCGUCA
rnacentral:rRNA from 1 species